GUGGUUCAUUAUUUUAUUGUUCUUCAAUAAUUUGAGAACUUAAAUCUUCUACUUUUGGCUUGGCUAGUGAUGCUGUCUUGAGCUGGGUUAUAAAAAUACUGUGUUUCACCUAAGUACAGAUUGUUAUAGUUUUCGUCUUAAUUAGCAAGCUGCAGAUUUAGAUGGAUUAAUACAAUCACUCUUUCUUUCUUUUGCCAUAGAAGUUCAGAAGUAUAAUCUGUCACUUGUGAGAACAUAAAGAAUUGGACUGGAAACAUUCCAAACUCUUUACUUCUCAGGUUUGCCCAGUGGACUGAGAAGCUGAAACACAUUCCGUGUGCCCACAUGAUUUAUGUCCAAUGGAUUAUCCUUCUGACAGGACAGUGUAAGGCUGGCAUUUGCAUUGCAGGGUCUUGCAAAAUCAGUGAAGGCUGA
rnacentral:lncRNA from 1 species